UGCAAGUCGAACGGAAAGGCCCUUCGGGGUACUCGAGUGGCGAACGGGUGAGUAACACGUGGGUGAUCUGCCCUGCACUUUGGGAUAAGCCUGGGAAACUGGGUCUAAUACCGAAUAUGACCGCAUGCUUCAUGGUGUGUGGUGGAAAGCUUUUGCGGUGUGGGAUGGGCCCGCGGCCUAUCAGCUUGUUGGUGGGGUAAUGGCCUACCAAGGCGACGACGGGUAGCCGGCCUGAGAGGGUGUCCGGCCACACUGGGACUGAGAUACGGCCCAGACUCCUACGGGAGGCAGCAGUGGGGAAUAUUGCACAAUGGGCGCAAGCCUGAUGCAGCGACGCCGCGUGAGGGAUGACGGCCUUCGGGUUGUAAACCUCUUUCAGCAGGGACGAAGCGCAAGUGACGGUACCUGUAGAAGAAGCACCGGCCAACUACGUGCCAGCAGCCGCGGUAAUACGUAGGGUGCGAGCGUUGUCCGGAAUUACUGGGCGUAAAGAGCUCGUAGGUGGUUUGUCGCGUUGUUCGUGAAAACUCACAGCUCAACUGUGGGCGUGCGGGCGAUACGGGCAGACUUGAGUACUGCAGGGGAGACUGGAAUUCCUGGUGUAGCGGUGGAAUGCGCAGAUAUCAGGAGGAACACCGGUGGCGAAGGCGGGUCUCUGGGCAGUAACUGACGCUGAGGAGCGAAAGCGUGGGGAGCGAACAGGAUUAGAUACCCUGGUAGUCCACGCCGUAAACGGUGGGUACUAGGUGUGGGUUUCCUUCCUUGGGAUCCGUGCCGUAGCUAACGCAUUAAGUACCCCGCCUGGGGAGUACGGCCGCAAGGCUAAAACUCAAAGAAAUUGACCGGGGGCCCGCACAA
rnacentral:rRNA from 1 species